rnacentral:rRNA from 1 species
GUCUACGGCCAUGCUACCCUGAACAAGCCCCAUCCCAUCUGAUCUCGGGAGCUAAGCAGGGUCAGGCCUGAUUAGUACUUGGAAGGGAGACCACCUAGGAAGACCAGGUGCUGUAGGCG